rnacentral:rRNA from 1 species
GACGAACGCUGGCGGCGUGCCUAAUACAUGCAAGUAGAACGCUGAAGGAGGAGCUUGCUUCUCUGGAUGAGUUGCGAAAGGGUGAGUAACGCGUAGGUAACCUGCCUGGUAGCGGGGGAUAACUAUUGGAAACGAUAGCUAAUACCGCAUAAGAGUAGAUGUUGCAUGACAUUUGCUUAAAAGGUGCAAUUGCAUCACUACCAGAUGGACCUGCGUUGUAUUAGCUAGUUGGUGGGGUAACGGCUCACCAAGGCGACGAUACAUAGCCGACCUGAGAGGGGGAUCGGCCACACUGGGACUGAGACACGGCCCAGACUCCUACGGGAGGCAGCAGUAGGGAAUCUUCGGCAAUGGACGGAAGUCUGACCGAGCAACGCCGCGUGAGUGAAGAAGGUUUUCGGAUCGUAAAGCUCUGUUGUAAGAGAAGAACGAGUGUGAGAGUGGAAAGUUCACACUGUGACGGUAUCUUACCAGAAAGGGACGGCUAACUACGUG